ensembl:lncRNA
GUGAGGGAAAAUAAUAUUUGAUCCCCUGUUGAUUUUGUAUGUUUCACCACUGACAAAGAAAUUAUCAGUCAGUAGGUUUAUUUGAACAGUGAGAGACAGAAUAACAACAAAAGAAUCCAGAAAAACACGUUAUUAAAAAAAUAUAUACAUUGAUUUGCAUUUUAGUGAGUGAAAUAAGUAUUCAACCCCUCUGCAAAACAUGACUUAGUACUUGGUGGCAAAACCCUUGUUGGCAAUCACAGAGGUCAGAUGUUUCUUGUAGUUGGCCACCACUUAGGGGUGUACUCACUUUUGUUGCCAGCAGUUUAGACAUUAAUGGCUGUGUGUUGUGUUAUUUUGAGGGGACAGCAAAUUUACACUGUUAUACAAGCUGUGCACUCACUACUUUACAUUUUUGCAAAGUGUCAUUUCUUCAGUGUUGUCACAUGAAAAGAUAUUUACAAAUAUUUACAAAAAUGUGAGGGGUGUACUCACAUUUAUGAGAUACUGUAUAUACUGAUCAGCCAUAACGUUAUGACCACUGACAGGUGAAGUGAAUAACACUGAUACUCUUUGUCUCAUUCUGUCCCCAAAGUUGAUGUGUUAGAAGCAGGAAAAGUGGGCAAGUGUAAGGAUCUGAGCGACUUUGACUAGGGCCAAAUUGUGAUGGCUAGACGACUGGGUCAGAACAUCUCCAAAACUGCAGCCCUUGUGGGGUGUUCACGGUCUGCAGUGGUCAGGACCUAUCAAAAGUGGUCCAAGGAAGGAAAAUUGGUGAACCGCGACACGGUCAUGGGCGGCCAAGGCUUACUGAUGCAUGUGGGGAGCGAAGGCUGGCCCCUGUGGUCUGAUCCAACAGUAGCUCAAAAUGAUGAAAAACGUUAAUGCUGGUACUGAUAGAAAGGUGUCAGAACACACAGUGCAAUGCAGUUUGUUGCAUAUGGGGCUGCGUAGCCGCAGACCAGUCAUGGUGCCCAUGCUGACGCCUGUCUUGAAAGUGCCUACAGUGGGCACAUGAGCAUCAGAACUGGACCACGGAGCAAAGGAAGAAGGUGGUCUGGUUUGAUGAAUCACAUUUUAUUUUACAUCAUGUGGAUGGCUAGGUGCAUCACUUACCUGGAGAACACAUGGCACCACACUGCACUGCGGGAAGGAGGCAAGCUGGUGAAGGCAGUGUGAUGCUUUGGGCAAUGUUCUGCUAGGAAACCUUGGGUCCUGCCUUUCAUGUGGUUGUUACUUUGACACCUACCACCUACCUAAUCAUUGUUGCAGACCAUGUGCACCCUUUCAUGGCAAUUGUAUUCCCUGAUGGCAUUGGCCUCUUUCAGCAGGAUAAUGCACCCUGCCACAAAGCAAAAAUGGUUCAGGAAUGGUUUGAGGAACACAACAAUGAGUUCAAGGUGUUGACUUGGCCUCCAAAUUCCCUAGAUUUCAAUCCAAUCAGCCAUCUGUGGGAUGUGCUGGACAAACAGGUCCAAUCCAUGGAGGCCUCGCAAAUUACAGGACUUAAAGGAUCUGCUGCUAACGACUUGGUGCCAGAUUCCACAGCACACCUUCAGAGGUCUAGUGGAGUUAAUGCCUCGACGGAUCAGUGCUGAUUUGGAGGCAAAAAGGGGACCUACAAAAUAUUAGGCAGGUGGUGUCAGGGACAUUUCUUACUGAUUGAAUGAUUGAGUCCCCAUAUUUAGAUAAGAUAAUGAAUGUUGGUUGUGCUGUAACUGUGGGAAAGGAAGAAUGAGGUGGUAAAUGUAAACCUUCUGUGAGUAAGGGGGUAGAUGCAGGUCAGUGAGUUUAGAGGAAGACACACAACAGGGGGUAGGAGGACAGGAUAGAGGAAGACACAACAGGAAGUAGGAGGACAGGAUAGAGGAAGACACAACAGGGAGUAGGAGGACAGGAUAGAGGAAGACACAACAGGGGGUAGGAGGACAGGAUAGAGGAAGACACAACAGGAAGUAGGAGGACAGGAUAGAGGAAGACACAACAGGGAGUAGGAGGACAGGAUAGAGGAAGACACACAACAGGGAGUAGGAGGACAGGAUAGAGGAAGACACACCACAGGGGGUAGGAGGACAGGAUAGAGGAAGACACACCACAGGGGGUAGGAGGACAGGAUAGAGGAAGACACACCACAGGGGGUAGGAGGACAGGAUAGAGGAAGACACAACAGGGAGUAGGAGGACAGGAUAGAGGAAGACACAACAGGGGGUAGGAGGACAGGAUAGAGGAAGACACAACAGGGGGAAGACACACAACAGGGAGUAGGAGGACAGGAUAGAGGAAGACACACCACAGGGGGUAGGAGGACAGGAUAGAGGAAGACACAACAGGGGGUAGGAGGACAGGAUAGAGGAAGACACACCACAGGGGGUAGGAGGACAGGAUAGAGGAAGACACACCACAGGGGGUAGGAGGACAGGAUAGAGGAAGACACAACAGGGAGUAGGAGGACAGGAUAGAGGAAGACACACAACAGGGAGUAGGAGGACAGGAUAGAGGAAGACACAACAGGGGGUAGGAGGACAGGAUAGAGGAAGACACACCACAGGGGGUAGGAGGACAGGAUAGAGGAAGACACAACAGGGGGUAGGAGGACAGGAUAGAGGAAGACACACCACAGGGGGUAGGAGGACAGGAUAGAGGAAGACACACAACAGGGAGUAGGAGGACAGGAUAGAGGAAGACAAAACAGGGGGUAGGAGGACAGGAUAGAGGAAGACAAAACAGGGGGUAGGAGGACAGGAUAGAGGAAGACACAACAGGGGGUAGGAAGGAUAAGAAACACAUGUUGUUUUUAUAGUCCCACCCAUUCCUCUAUAAGUACUGAAUGUACUUCCAAAUGAUUUAGAGAUUAUUCACUGUUACCUUGUGACCUGUGUACUCUCAAGAAUAAACUGUUGAAUUGUGCAAUAGAGUUUUCCUGUCUUACCUACCAUUUCCGUAAACUGUAUGGACUUUUGAAACUGCCAUCACAGUAGUCAUAAUGUUAUGGCUGAUCAAUGUAUUUAUAUACCUCCUCCUUACUGGGCCAGGCCUUGUUACAUCCAGAAGCAGCAUUCACAAUUAAUAAGAACAACUUACUGAUCCUCUUCUCCUUUAGAAUACUCUUCUUGGGAUUGCUCAUUUUGGAUGUUUAUUCAGCCACUUUAGUGCUGUUGCGUGCAAUCGGUGUAGGACCUAAAACGGCAUUCACAAGUUAUACUCCUUAGUAAUCUGUAUAAUACUAUUAAAAUGGCUCUUCAAUCCUUCAAUCCGUAUUCAAUCCUUACAACAUAUAAUCAAAAUUGUUUUUAUUAGUUUUUGCCACUGAUCAACAGUAAAAAUGUCCAUGAUUUUAAAGUGAAACAAAAUCUAUAUAUUGUUCUGAAUCAAAACACAGAAUAAUUGAAUAACAUCAGUAUUCAAUAUGUGAUAGAUGCACCUUGAGCAGCAGUUAAAACCGUGACUUUAUUUUAAUGUCUGUCAGCUACGCACAUCUGGACACCGGCACUUUUUACCCAUUCUUCUUUGCAAAAUUGCUCAAGCUCUGUCAAGCUGUAUGGGGACAUUUGAUGAACUUUCAACUAUUCCCACAUACAAUAUUCUCAUUUGGAGACUUUGACCUUAUUCUGUUUAAGCCUUUCUAGUGGGGCUUUGGCUGUAUUUGUUGGGUCAUUGUCCUGUUGGUAUAUUAAAUCUUCCCCCAAGUCCCAGGUUUCUUGCUGACUUCAACAGGUUUUCUUCCAGGAUUUCUCUGUACUUUGCAGCAUCCAUUUUGCCCUCUAUCUUCACAAGCUUUCCA